rnacentral:rRNA from 1 species
AUUGAACGCUGGCGGCAUGCUUUACACAUGCAAGUCGAGCGGCAGCGCGGGGGCAACCCUGGCGGCGAGCGGCGAACGGGUGAGUAAUGCAUCGGAACGUAUCCUCGAGUGGGGGAUAACCCAGCGAAAGUUGGGCUAAUACCGCAUGAGCUCUGAGGAGGAAAGCGGGGGACCUGCGAGGGCCUCGCGCUGGAGGAGCGGCCGAUGUCCGAUUAGCUAGUUGGUGGGGUAAAGGCUUACCAAGGCGACGAUCGGUAGCUGGUCUGAGAGGAUGAUCAGCCACACUGGGACUGAGACACGGCCCAGACUCCUACGGGAGGCAGCAGUGGGGAAUUUUGGACAAUGAGGGCAACCCUGAUCCAGCCAUGCCGCGUGAGUGAAGAAGGCCUUCGGGUUGUAAAGCUCUUUCGGACGGAACGAAAUGGGCGGGACUAAUACUCCUGUCUGAUGACGGUACCGUAAGAAGAAGCACCGGCUAACUACGU